GGACCCGCACAAGCGGUGGAGCAUGUGGUUUAAUUCGAUGCAACGCGAAGAACCUUACCUGGUCUUGACAUCCUGCGAACUUUCUAGAGAUAGAUUGGUGCCUUCGGGAACGCAGUGACAGGUGCUGCACGGCUGUCGUCAGCUCGUGUUGUGAAAUGUUGGGUUAAGUCCCGCAACGAGCGCAACCCCUAUUGAUAGUUACCAUCAUUAAGUUGGGUACUCUAUUGAGACUGCCGCUGACAAGGCGGAGGAAGGUGGGGACGACGUCAAGUCAUCAUGGCCCUUACGACCAGGGCUACACACGUGCUACAAUGGGUAUUACAGAGGGCUGCGAAGGUGCGAGCUGGAGCGAAACUCAGAAAGGUACUCUUAGUCCGGAUCGCAGUCUGCAACUCGACUGCGUGAAGCUGGAAUCGCUAGUAAUCG
rnacentral:rRNA from 1 species